rnacentral:rRNA from 1 species
UAGGGAAUCUUCGGCAAUGGGGGCAACCCUGACCGAGCAACGCCGCGUGAGUGAAGAAGGUUUUCGGAUCGUAAAGCUCUGUUGUAAGAGAAGAACGAGUGUGAGAGUGGAAAGUUCACACUGUGACGGUAACUUACCAGAAAGGGACGGCUAACUACGUGCCAGCAGCCGCGGUAAUACGUAGGUCCCGAGCGUUAUCCGGAUUUAUUGGGCGUAAAGCGAGCGCAGGCGGUUAGAUAAGUCUGAAGUUAAAGGCUGUGGCUUAACCAUAGUACGCUUUGGAAACUGUUUAACUUGAGUGCAGAAGGGGAGAGUGGAAUUCCAUGUGUAGCGGUGAAAUGCGUAGAUAUAUGGAGGAACACCGGUGGCGAAAGCGGCUCUCUGGUCUGUAACUGACGCUGAGGCUCGAAAGCGUGGGGAGCAAACAGGAUUAGAUACCCUGGUAGUCCACGCCGUAACGAUGAGUGCUAGGUGUUGGGUCCUUUCCGGGACUCAGUGCCGCAGCUAACGCAUUAAGCACUCCGCCUGGGGAGUACGACCGCAAGGU